rnacentral:tRNA from 1 species
CAGGGAGACAACAAAAUGUUAAAUAUUAAUUUUGUCACCUUAGGUCGAUCGGUAUCUCACAUUCUUAAUUUAUUAAGGAUUUUAUUUCCUAAGUUUUUUCUAGGUCACACCCAUUACUUUCCCUGGGCCAUUAGCUCAGGUGGUUAGAGCGCACCCCUGAUAAGGGUGAGGUCCCUGGUUCAAGUCCAGGAUGGCCCAUAUCUCUAUGUUGGGGGUAUAGCUCAGUUGGUAGAGCGCCUGCUUUGCAAGCAGGAUGUCAGCGGUUCGAGUCCGCUUACCUCCACUGAUCACCACCUCUUCCAUAAUUUAUAGAAGGGAAUUGUUUUGAGUUGUGAUCAAAUUCUGAACGAAUCUAGCUUCCUAAUGAAACUUAUUAAGAUGCUGGACUCAUUGAAUUAAUUUCAUUGUUUUCAGAGAACCUUGACAACUGCAUAGAUUAUUUUAAAGACAAUAAGCAUCUUUAUUGAUGCAGAUUUAUUAUUUGUGCGAAUGCAUUAAUAACAAUUCUAUUAAGCUGAUGCUUCAAUUUUUGAAGUUAUU